rnacentral:tRNA from 1 species
GCCCGGAUGGUGGAAUUGGUAGACACGCUGGUCUUAGAAGCCAGUGCGCAAGCGUGGGGGUUCAAGUCCCCCUCCGGGCACCA